UUUAAAUUUUUUCUAAAAAAAAUUAGAUGAGUUGAUCCACCAAUGAAAGAGUUUCAAGGAAAGAGAAAAAUAACCAUUUUUUAACAAAAAAUAAACAAAAAAAAAAAAACUAGUUUCUUUUUCUUUUUUCUUUUUUUUUUUCCCACUUUUCUUCCUUUCUUGAUCCAAGGAGAGCAAAAAAUAACAAAGCUAAAGCUUCAAUAAUCAAAACCCAGACUUCCAAAACCCCCAAGCUUGAUUCUUUGAUCCGAAAAAUCCUAAAAAGGGGGUGAGAAGAAGAAGGAAAAAGAACCCAUAGUUUUGGUGGGUGUUAAAAAUCCAAUGCAGUGGAGGUCUUUGUUAGAAAGACCAACAAAAAACGGGAGAGUUUUGAAGGAAACUCAGAUAAAAAAAAUCGAAGAUUGAAUCAGGAAAAGAAGAGAAAAGGGUUGGAUCUGAUGGUGGUGGGGGUAGGAUUGGGUGUGGAGAGGAGCAGAGAGAGAUAUUGUGGAGGAGCAACAGCUGGUUUUGAUAAUACUAAGAAAGGCGGUGUCUUUUUGGAGAGAGUGGAGAAGAGUUGUUCAGGUGUGUUGGAGCUGCAUAGACAAGGAUGCAGCUUCACGUCUCGCCUAGCAUGAGAAGUAUAACAAUAUCAAGCAACAAUGGGUUUAUUGACUUGAUGAAGAUCAAGGUGGCAGCUAGACAUAUUUCAUAUAGGACCCUUUUCCAUACCAUUCUCAUCCUUGCUUUCUUGUUGCCCUUCGUCUUCAUUCUUACCGCUCUUGUUACCCUUGAAGGUGUCAACAAGUGCUCCUCAUUUGAUUGUUUAGGCAGGCGGCUAGGACCAAGGCUUCUUGGUAGAGUUGAUGAUUCAGGAAUUUGGUGUUUUGUGGUGCUGAUGGUGGUGCGGCAGAGACUAGUUAAGGACUUUUAUAAGAUCCUCAAUCAAGUAAAUGUUGAGGAAAUCCCAGAUGGUCUAAAGCUUCCAGAUUCGUUUAGUCAACUUGUUUCUGAAAUGAAAAACAACCAGUAUGAUGCAAAGACCUUUGCAUUCAUGUUAAGAGCAAUGAUGGAGAAACUUGAAAGAGAAAUUAGGGAAUCUAAGUUUUCAGAGCUGAUGAACAAACACUUCGCUGCAAGUUCCAUUCCAAAAGGCAUCCACUGUCUUUCUCUGCAUUUAACUGAUGAAUACUCUUCCAAUGCUCAUGCACGCAGACAACUCCCUUCUCCUGAGCUCCUUCCUGUGCUUUCUAACAACUCUUACCACCACUUCGUCCUGUCAACGGACAACAUAUUGGCUGCAUCGGUAGUUGUUACUUCUGCUGUCCAGUCCUCACUAGAACCUGACAAGAUUGUCUUCCAUAUCAUCACAGACAAGAAAACUUAUGCGGGUAUGCAUUCCUGGUUUGCACUAAACCCUGUAUUCCCCGCCAUAGUUGAAGUGAAAGGUGUUCACCAGUUUGAUUGGUUAACUAGAGAGAAUGUUCCCGUGCUUGAAGCUGUAGAGAACCAUAAUGGCAUCAGAGAUUACUAUCAUGGCAAUCAUAUUGCAAGGGCAAAUCUCUCUGAUACUACUCCUCGAACAUUCGCUUCAAAAUUGCAGGCUAGAAGUCCAAAGUACAUAUCCUUACUCAACCAUCUUCGGAUAUAUUUACCAGAGCUUUUCCCGAACCUCGACAAAGUGGUCUUUCUAGAUGAUGAUGUUGUAAUUCAGCGUGAUUUGUCUCCUCUUUGGGAGAUUGAUCUAUGGGGAAAGGUUAAUGGAGCUGUAGAAACUUGUAAAGGUGAAGAUGAGUGGGUGAUGUCCAAACAUUUCAGAAACUACUUCAAUUUUUCCCAUCCCCUUAUAGCUAAGCAUUUGGACCCUGAUGAAUGUGCAUGGGCUUAUGGGAUGAAUAUAUUUGAUCUCCAUGCAUGGAGAAAGACAAAUAUAAGAGAAACAUAUCAUUCCUGGCUCAAAGAGAACCUGAAGUCAAACCUGACUAUGUGGAAGCUUGGAACUCUACCACCUGCUUUGAUUGCAUUUAAAGGCCAUGUUCAUCCCAUUGACCCAUCAUGGCAUAUGCUUGGCUUGGGUUAUCAGAGUAAGACCAACAUUGAGAAUGUGAAAAGAGCUGCAGUUAUUCAUUACAAUGGCCAGUCAAAACCGUGGCUGCAGAUUGGCUUCGAGCAUCUUCGGCCAUUUUGGACCACGUAUGUCAACUACUCCAAUGAUUUUGUUAGGAACUGCCACAUUUUGGAAUCAUAGCUAAGCAGCUAGAGGAAUAGAAGGAAAAUAGACUUGGAAGAGACACUAGCAAGUCAAGUGUCAUAAGUUUUAUUGUGGCCUGAAAGUUUUCUCAAGAUCUAUUUGAGAAGGGUGGGAAAAGGUUACUCAUAUGGGUUUUCCUGCAAAGGUUCUUGGCUUAGUGCAUACGUUGGAAUAAGGUGCAAAAUACACAAGACUAGAAGUGCUCCCGUUGAUGUCAUUGGAUUCAUUGGUAUAGGAAGAGAAUGGCUUGGACUGUUCAUUUGGACUAACUAGAUCAUGGAGAUUGCCCUGUUACAGCUCCCAUCAAUUGGGGACCUGUUCUUAGGUUAUAUUUCGGUAUUUGUUAUGUACACUUCACGAGAAACACUUAAAAAAUGUGCAGAAAAAUUCUUUUCCAA